UGGGGAAUAUUGCACAAUGGGGGAAACCCUGAUGCAGCGACGCCGCGUGAACGAAGAAGGUAUUCGUAUCGUAAAGUUCUGUCCUAUGGGAAGAUAAUGACAGUACCAUAGAAGAAAGCUCCGGCUAAAUACGUGCCAGCAGCCGCGGUAAUACGUAUGGAGCGAGCGUUGUCCGGAAUUAUUGGGCGUAAAGGGUACGCAGGCGGUUUAAUAAGUCGAAUGUUAAAGAUCGGGGCUCAACCCCGUAAAGCAUUGGAAACUGAUAAACUUGAGUAGUGGAGAGGAAAGUGGAAUUCCUAGUGUAGUGGUGAAAUACGUAGAUAUUAGGAGGAAUACCAGUAGCGAAGGCGACUUUCUGGGCACAAACUGACGCUGAGGUACGAAAGCGUGGGGAGCAAACAGG
rnacentral:rRNA from 1 species